UCCUACGGGAGGCAGCAGUGGGGAAUAUUGGACAAUGGGCGAAAGCCUGAUCCAGCCAUGCCGCGUGUGUGAAGAAGGUCUUCGGAUUGUAAAGCACUUUAAGUUGGGAGGAAGGGCAGUAAGCUAAUACCUUGCUGUUUUGACGUUACCGACAGAAUAAGCACCGGCUAACUCUGUGCCAGCAGCCGCGGUAAUACAGAGGGUGCAAGCGUUAAUCGGAAUUACUGGGCGUAAAGCGCGCGUAGGUGGUUCGUUAAGUUGGAUGUGAAAGCCCCGGGCUCAACCUGGGAACUGCAUCCAAAACUGGCGAGCUAGAGUAUGGUAGAGGGUGGUGGAAUUUCCUGUGUAGCGGUGAAAUGCGUAGAUAUAGGAAGGAACACCAGUGGCGAAGGCGACCACCUGGGCUGGUUCUGUCCCUGGGGU
rnacentral:rRNA from 1 species